rnacentral:misc_RNA from 1 species
AACCUUAUGGACCUGCGGGCGUAUACCUGCGGAGGGAUCAUUAUCAAAACAGCGGCCUUCGGGCCUUGCUGCACCCUUGUCUUUUGCGCACCGUAUUGUUUCCUCGGCGGGCUUGCCUGCCGGUUGGACAUUAUCAAACCUUUUUGUAGUUGCAAUCAGCGUCAGAAAAACAAUAAUUAUUACAACUUUUAACAAUGGAUCU